UGGAACCCGAAGCCAGUGAGCUCCCAAAAUGCCUCAUGCUAGGUAGGGAUGGGAAUAUACAUAUAAGGAUCACUCCCCUGGGCGAUGUGGGAUCUUACACCCACAAUAAAAAAUCAAUGUUAAUAUACAAUGUUAAUAAAUAUAAGGAGCUUCUGUUAAAAAUGUCUCAAGUACCUUCAUGGAGCUCACUCCACAUUGUAUUUUAACGAUCCAU
rnacentral:lncRNA from 1 species